AUUGAACGCUGGCGGCAGGCUUAACACAUGCAAGUCGAGCGGAGAGAGGUAGCUUGCUACCGAUCUUAGCGGCGGACGGGUGAGUAAUGCUUAGGAAUCUGCCUAUUAGUGGGGGACAACAUUUCGAAAGGAAUGCUAAUACCGCAUACGUCCUACGGGCGAAAGCAGGGGAUCUUCGGACCUUGCGCUAAUAGAUGAGCCUAAGUCGGAUUAGCUAGUUGGUGGGGUAAAGGCCUACCAAGGAGACGAUCUGUAGCGGGUCUGAGAGGAUGAUCCGCCACACUGGGACUGAGACACGGCCCAGACUCCUACGGGAGGCAGCAGUGGGGAAUAUUGGACAAUGGGCGGAAGCCUGAUCCAGCCAUGCCGCGUGUGUGAAGAAGGCCUUAUGGUUGUAAAGCACUUUAAGCGAGGAGGAGGCUACUUUAGUUAAUACCUAGAGAUAGUGGACGUUACUCGCAGAAUAAGCACCGGCUAACUCUGUGCCAGCCGCCGCAGUAAAAC
rnacentral:rRNA from 1 species